rnacentral:lncRNA from 1 species
GCUCUCUCCUCCAUCUGCAUGCCUGGCGAUGCCAUUGUGGAAGACAUAGGGCCUUGGUUUGUGGGUUCCACUACAGCAGCAGCCCCUCAGAGGAGGUUUGAGGAGCUGUUCUCGCCACAGGGGCAGGGCUGGAGCAAGGUCCUGGUGCAGUCUGUCUAAGGGAGGAAGGCUGCCAGCUGUGCCCUUGUCCCCUGUUGGGGUUGUGGGGUGAUGGAGCUGCUUUCUGCAGAAGGUGCAUGGCGUCCAGGAGGAGCUGAGGGGAUCUGGCAGCCAUUGGAUGUUUUGUGUUCCUGAUGGGAGCAGUGGCUUCUGUGAGCAGUGCCAAUUGUCCAGCUUUCCCAGGGUGUGGAGGAGCAGCAUGAUGGGGGCUCCCUGUGCGAGACCAAGGAUUUAAGCUGCUGCUGCUCGGAGUGGUGUGGUUCCCCUUCUGUCUGCAGUAAGCUUGAGGUGGCAGCAGAAGUGGUAGAUUUCAGAUAAUGUCUGCAGGAGAAGAGAACAUGCUUGAGCUGGAGCUUGAAAUAAUGCUCUUGAGUGGGGAGGCUUGCUGCUUUGCUCUAUCAAAGGAAACAAAAACUAAAUUGGUAAAUCAGUUUAACAAAAAGUACAAAACAGAAAUGCUUCUGAGCCUCUUUAUCUUAUCGUAAGAGAUGUAUAAAGAAAUAAAAUAUAGUUUUCUGUGUGUGCCUUAGUCACAGCAAAUAGGAUAAAUGAAAACUGAGAUUCUUUAGCAGAACUAGGAUACAGGAGCGAGUGCUUCUAAACAGAAGUCACUCCAAACAAUUUCUUGUUGUUGCAGACUUUACCUUUUGCUGUGUCUUAUUCCUUUACUUUGAGCCUAUCUCUGAGUAACUUUAUCAAAAGAGAUUGUGGAUAUUCUCUAAACAAAGAAGCAGGGCUUUAACUUCUCAUAUCAUUGUGAGUGUAUCUGCCUUAUCAGCUUGCAGAAACUGUUUGUUAACUGCCUUUCCCCUGCAGUGCCAAUAAACUUUCCACUCCUCCUGAAUAAAAGUCUCCUCUGUUCCAUUAACAUUCACAUGCAGAAAGAACUUAACUUCUCAAGAAAGCAAACUAUGUUCAUCAAUAUCUAAGUCAAUAUUCAUCAACAGCUAAUGUAACUAACAAUAUCUAACUAAAAUAGCUACUCUAACUAAAUAUCGAGUAAACUGUAGAGUUAACAAUUACGUGCUUUUCUUUAGAGCAAGGCAACUCAUGAGGUUUGAUGUAAAGACAAAAGAAAUCUGGCACUCACCCUCUAAUGCUUGGAGAUCUGCUCUUCAUCCUCUGCUCCCUCGAAGCUGCUUCAUUUCAGGUACCCUUAUGCAUCUAGAAGAAAGCGAGUAGCUGCAUUGAAGAAUGUUUUCCAAUAUGUACAAGUUUGUACUGAUAUUGAUGGUUAAAUGUUAUUAAUAAAUGGGAAAGAAUAAAUAUUUGUUACAGCUGACUACU